rnacentral:lncRNA from 1 species
AUGCCUUCGGUCCUCCUGGUUCCUCGGACACACUCAAGAUGGCCAACAGCACUCUGCCAACUUGCAAGCUUUUCCUUCGGCUUCCUGACCUUCCUCCCACGCUCCUUUUCGCGAAGCCCCGCCUCUUCCGGCGAAGCCCUCGCCCGUUCUUUGGACGGACACCGGAAGUGGGAGGUUGUCCGGGAAUUUUUAAACCUUGGCAAGCCAGGGAGACGUUGUUUUGAGUUGGAAAUCCGUGUCGAUUUGGUUUGCCGUUGUCUGCUUUCUGGUCGGAAAUGAAACACUGGAUUUAGAUGAAAUGAUUGGAGGUUAAACCGCAGAAGCCUCUGUGCUGCAAGGUCAGAAGACCAGCAGUCAUAAGAUCGAAUCCACACAACGGAGUGAGCUCCUGUCGCUUGUCCCAAUUCCUGCCAACCUAGUAGUUCAAAAGCAUGUAAACAUGCAAGUAGAUAAAUAGGUACCACCUCGGUGGGAAGGUAACAGUGUUCCAUGUCUAGUCGUGCUGGCCACGGAAACUGUCUUCAGACAAACGCUGGCUUUUAUGGCUUGGAAAUGGGGAUAACCACCGUGCCCUAGAGUCAGACACAAGUGGGCUAAAUGUCAAAGGGAACCUUUACCUCAUCAAGAUUGCUUAUCUGGUCUUGAAAACAAUUGGUAUGUGUUAAUACUAUCUCUAGAGGCAAAAAUGCUGAAAUUGUAGUUGUUCUACUCUGGGCAUGUUAUGAGAAGGCAGGAUUCUCUGGAAAGUACAGCUAUACUGGGAAAGACUGAAAGCGGCAGGAAAAAAAAGGAAGACCAAAUAUGACAUAGAUUGACUCCCUAAAGAAGCCCAACAGGACUGUGGAGGACAAGACAUUAUGAAGAAUGACUAUUCAAUGGGUCACCAUAAGUUGGGAGCUACUUGAUAACACAUAACAACAACCUAACUUUGUCAAGUGGUGUUGUGGAACCAGGACCAGCAGGGUUGAAAUCUCAGGAAGUUUUGAAUACCAUGGACAAUUCUAUUAUUUGCCACCCCUUUAGCCUUCCCUGUUCCACUUAGCUGCAAUCUUCGCAACAAUGAGGAGAGAACUGGAUUUUCCCAGGAAAAAGAAA